AAUUAUUAAACAUGUCUGAUUUUUUGGGUGAGUUGUAUUUCAUAUUCAAAAUUAUAAAUUAGGUAUGAAUUUGCUAAAAUUCUUCACGAGCCCGAUUCAUUUCUAUUCUUAACCCUAUACACAAGAAUUGGCAAAUUCAUGAGAUAAACUUAAUGAGAUCAAUGAUUUUUUCUUUUUACAUUCUUAAUCUUAAGAUUUCAACAAAUUUUCUUAAUUAUAAAUAUUACAAUGUUUUAUGAUAAUAAAAAUUGUGCUAGUGUAUAUAUAGUAAAACACGCACACUAGUCCAUAUAUAAAAGACAAUUUUAUAUCACUAGUUAGAUACCUCCCUCUAUUAGAGGUAUUUACCAUAAGGCUACAU
rnacentral:lncRNA from 1 species